CCUGCUCAAUGAAUAUUAAAUAGCUGCAGUUUCUGUACUAAGGUAGCAUAAUAAUUUGCCUUUUAAUUUGAGGAUAGAAUGAAUGGGUUAAUGAGGUUACUGCUGUCUCUACAUUAAAAAUAAAAAUUUAUUUAAAAGUGAAAAAGCUUUUAUAAAAUAAAAAGACAAAAAGACCCUAUUGAGCUUAUUUAUUAAUAGUAAAAUUAAUAAAUUUUGUUGGGGCAACAUAAAUUUUAUAAUUCAAUUUAAAAUUUUAAGAAAUAAUUCUAUACUAUAAUCCAAUUAUAUUGAAUAAAUAAAAGUUACCAUAGGGAUAACAGGCUUAUUUUCUUAGAGAGUUCAAAUCGAUAAGAAAGUUUGGCACCUCGAUGUUGGCUUAUAAUUUCUUCUUGAAGCAACAUUUAAG
rnacentral:rRNA from 1 species